AUUGAACGCUGGCGGCAGGCCUAACACAUGCAAGUCGGGCGAGGGGCGGAUGGGUGAGUAAUGUAUGGGGUUCCGCCCGAUGGAGGGGGAUAACUACUGGAAACGGUAGCUAAUACCGCAUCCCAUCAGAUGAACUCAUAUGGGAUUAGCUUGUGGGUGAGGUAACGGCUCACCUAGGUGACGAUCCCUAGCUGGUCUGAGAGGAUGAUCCGCCACACGUGGGAUGAGACGAGGCCCAGACUCGUACGGGAGGCAGCGGUGAAGAAUAUUGCAGAAUGAGCACUAGCCUAAUGCAGCCAAGCCGGGAGUAUGAAGCAGACCAUCGGGGUGUGAAGUACUUUCAGUCGGGAGGCGUUACCGACAGAAUAAGCACCGGCUAACUCCGUGCCAGCAGCCGCGGUAAUUC
rnacentral:rRNA from 1 species